rnacentral:rRNA from 1 species
CCUACGGGAGGCAGCAGUGAGGAAUAUUGGUCAAUGGCCGUAAGGCUGAACCAGCCAAGUCGCGUGAAGGAAGAAGGAUCUAUGGUUUGUAAACUUCUUUUAUAGGGGAAUAAAGGUAUCCACGUGUGGAUUUUUGCAUGUACCCUAUGAAUAAGCAUCGGCUAACUCCGUGCCAGCAGCCGCGGUAAUACGGAGGAUGCGAGCGUUAUCCGGAUUUAUUGGGUUUAAAGGGUGCGUAGGUUGGUUUUUAAGUCAGCGGUGAAAGUUUGUGGCUCAACCAUAAAAUUGCCGUUGAAACUGGAAGACUUGAGUGUGUUUGAGGUAGGCGGAAUGCGUGGUGUAGCGGUGAAAUGCAUAGAUAUCACGCAGAACUCCGAUUGCGAAGGCAGCUUACUAAGCCAUAACUGACACUGAAGCACGAAAGUGUGGGGAUCAAACAGGAUUAGAUACCCUUGUAGUC